AACCAUAUACUACAAUGUGGCUAAUUUCAACAUUGUUUGUCAAAUGGCAUUUGUCUUUUAGACAAUUCCCAUUUCAGUUCAAAAACAUAUACAUGCAACGUGAUGUUAUGAAAUUGUAACAUUCCUGAAUGAUAUGAACAUGUUGCCACUAUUUGAGUGUACUCAGCGAAUAUUGAGAUUGACUUAAAUAGUGACUUGUAUGGCGACGAUGUUCUUUUAUCAUUUGUAUAA
rnacentral:misc_RNA from 1 species